rnacentral:rRNA from 1 species
UACGGGGGGGAGCAAGCGUUGUUCGGAUUUACUGGGCGUAAAGGGCGCGUAGGCGGUCGUGACAAGUCACUUGUGAAAUCUCCGGGCUUAACUCGGAACGGUCAAGUGAUACUGUCGGACUAGAGUACAGAAGGGGCAACUGGAAUUCUCGGUGUAGCGGUGAAAUGCGUAGAUAUCGAGAGGAACACCUGCGGCGAAGGCGACUUCCUGGACAGACACUGACACUGAGGCACGAAAGCGUGGGGAGCAAACAGG